rnacentral:rRNA from 1 species
UACGUAGGGUGCAAGCGUUGUCCGGAAUUAUUGGGCGUAAAGGGCUCGUAGGCGGUCCGUCACGUCGGGAGUGAAAACUUGGGGCUUAACCCCAAGCCUGCUUCCGAUACGGGCGGACUAGAGGUAGGCAGGGGAGAACGGAAUUCCUGGUGUAGCGGUGAAAUGCGCAGAUAUCAGGAGGAACACCGGUGGCGAAGGCGCCUAUCUGGCCCGAUACUGACGCUGAGGCGCGAAAGCUAGGGGAGCAAACGGG